rnacentral:rRNA from 1 species
GAUGAACGCUGGCGGCGUGCCUAAUACAUGCAAGUCGAGCGAACAGAUGAGGAGCUUGCUCCUCUGACGUUAGCGGCGGACGGGUGAGUAACACGUGGAUAACCUACCUAUAAGACUGGGAUAACUUCGGGAAACCGGAGCUAAUACCGGAUAAUAUAUUGAACCGCAUGGUUCAAUAGUGAAAGACGGUUUUGCUGUCACUUAUAGAUGGAUCCGCGCCGCAUUAGCUAGUUGGUAAGGUAACGGCUUACCAAGGCGACGAUGCGUAGCCGACCUGAGAGGGUGAACGGCCACACGGGAACUGAGACACGGCCCAGACUCCUAGGGGAGGAAGCAGUAGGGAAUCUUCCGCAAUGGGCGAAAGCCUGACGGAGCAACGCCGCGUGAGUGGUGAAGGUCUUCGGAUCGUAAAACUCUGUUAUUAGGGAAGAACAAAUGUGUAAGUAACUAUGCACGUCUUGACGGUACCUAAUCAGAAAGCCACGGCUAACUACGUG